GAGGAAUCUGCCUUCUACACUGGGAUAACUCCGGGAAACCGGGGCUAAUACCGGAUAUGAAACUUGGUGGCAUCACCGAGUUUGGAAAGUUUUUCGGUAGAAGAUGACCUCGCGGCCUAUCAGCUUGUUGGUGAGGUAAUGGCUCACCAAGGCGACGACGGGUAGCCGGCCUGAGAGGGCGACCGGCCACACUGGGACUGAGACACGGCCCAGACUCCUACGGGAGGCAGCAGUGGGGAAUAUUGGGCAAUGGAGGAAACUCUGACCCAGCGACGCCGCGUGCGGGAUGAAGGCCUUCGGGUUGUAAACCGCUUUCAGUAGGGAAGAAGCGAAAGUGACGGUACCUACAGAAGAAGCACCGGCUAACUAUGUGCCAGCAGCCGCGGUAAUACAUAGGGUGCAAGCGUUGUCCGGAAUUAUUGGGCGUAAAGAGCUCGUAGGUGGUUCGUUACGUCGGAUGUGAAAAUCUGGGGCUCAACCCCAGACCUGCAUCCGAUACGGUCGAGCUAGAGUUUGGUAGGGGAGACUGGAAUUCCUGGUGUAGCGGUGGAAUGCGCAGAUAUCAGGAGGAACACCAAUGGCGAAGGCAGGUCUCUGGGCCAAUACUGACACUGAGGAGCGAAAGCGUGGGGAGCGAACAGGAUUAGAUACCCUGGUAGUCCACGCCGU
rnacentral:rRNA from 1 species